GUUAGACAUGACAGUUAUCUUUGAAAUAUUUUAGGACAUUUCUCAUAUAUAUAACGCUUUUAUUCAUUGACACCGACUAAAACAGCUUGUUUUGCUCACGAGACCUACGUUGUUUACAAACCCAAAUCAUUGUUAAAUUGUGUGCACCAUGUGCAUUCAUCAAAAUUUGCAGCAUAAUGAUAUGCUGGUUUAAUUUUUCUUCUUUAGAGUGAUAGCUUACCUGUAACACCAAUUCAGGAUUGGUUACGGAACUACAAAUUUCAAAAUCGUAGCUCAUCAGAGAUGUCUGCACAAGUGUGCUGAGAUUUACAAACCAUCCCAGCAAAACAGAAUGUGUAAAGAUUGCACUUAUGAUUGUUGAAUAAUAUCCAUUCCUGAAGGAUCCACUAUUAGAUGCAAACUCAAAACCAUGGGGAUCUAUUGAGAUGAAAAUCUAUAACCGAUUAAAAAAAUUGCAAAUAAAGAGAUCUAACACGCCUGUACCAAUGUCUCGCAAACUAAAGGCAAAUCAACAAAGAAAAGGAACAGUCACUGUUGGACGAACGUUCCCGAGCCGUGCGAAAGUGAAGAUCUUACAGCAGUGGUAUCAAAAAUAAAAAAGAAGUGGCAGUCAGCUAAAAAGGAUCAUGAAAAAAUUCAGGAGUUCAUGGCUGCAUGCUAUGCUUCAAGAAGAUCACUUGUCUUGGAAGACGUCAGAAGAAUAGUGGAAGUUGUUGAUAUGUUCCCUCCUUUAAAAAAUCUGCUAUACGUUAGUAGCUAGUAGUAUUUUUAUCCCAUAAUAAACAUUUAUGGCAUGAAGCUGUCCUUAAUUGGAAA